GACGAGGUGGUCGAGUGGUUAAGGCGAUGGACUGCUAACUUAUUGUGCUCUGCACGCGUGGGUUCAAAUCCCAUCCUUGACG
rfam:Danio rerio chromosome 17, GRCz11 reference primary assembly.